UACGUAGGGGGCGAGCGUUGUCCGGAUUUAUUGGGCGUAAAGAGCUCGUAGGCGGUUUGGUAAGUCGGGUGUGAAAUCUCCACGCUCAACGUGGAGGGGCCACUCGAUACUGCCAUGACUCGAGUCCGGUAGAGGAGUGUGGAAUUCCCGGUGUAGCGGUGAAAUGCGCAGAUAUCAGGAGGAACACCAAUGGCGAAGGCAGCUCGCUGGGACGUGACUGACGCUGAGACGCGAAAGCGUGGGGAGCAAACAGG
rnacentral:rRNA from 1 species